UCUUUGCUAGUAUAUCGGUUAGUACACGCGCCUGUCAUAUGUCGGAUCGUCUCAGUAUACAUAAUCCGCGCGAAAGCUGGGUUCGACUCCCAGGCAGAGAG